UUUAAUUAUGGUUACUCACACUUUUUUUGUCAUUAGCGCCUGCAAAUUGCUUUCAAUGAUUCUUUUAAUAUUUCUAUUAAUUGUUUACAAUUUUUGUUUUUAUCUUGUUUAGUCGCAAACAAAUCUUUUUUUUUUUUUGUGUUUUCACCAAACAAUCACUACUCAGCGUGCGGCAUAUUUACAUGUCUCAAUUACUUGACAAUUCCAGUUUUUUUGCACGUGCUCAUUUUUUAUACAUACGAUACAUAAAAUGUAGAUUCCGCAAUUCCAGAUUUUUGAAAAAAACCAAUCCAAAUAUUUCGAACGCUUAGCCAAAUUUCAUUGUUACUACUUGUGCAUAUGUUGCAGGUGACUCAGUGGCGGUUACGAUAAAAAACCCAGCACAAACACGUUAAAAAGGAAAUGCUUGUUUAUCUCAAAGAAAUGUACAGAAUUCAAUAGAAGUUAGGGAAGCUAUGCGAAAGACCGAAACCGGUGUUGAAGUCAUUUCUGCCACUUAGCGGACCAUUCAACCAACGAGAACCACCAGCAUUGAAGUUCAAUUUCGUUUGACGAUCGGCAGAGGUGAAGAGAUUGGAACUGGC